rnacentral:rRNA from 1 species
CCUACGGGAGGCAGCAGUGAGGAAUAUUGGACAAUGGAGGGAACUCUGAUCCAGCCAUGCCGCGUGCAGGAAGACUGCCCUAUGGGUUGUAAACUGCUUUUAUACAGGAAGAAACACCUCUACGUGUAGAGGCUUGACGGUACUGUAAGAAUAAGGAUCGGCUAACUCCGUGCCAGCAGCCGCGGUAAUACGGAGGAUCCAAGCGUUAUCCGGAAUCAUUGGGUUUAAAGGGUCCGUAGGUGGACUGAUAAGUCAGAGGUGAAAUCCUGCAGCUUAACUGUAGAACUGCCUUUGAUACUGUUAGUCUUGAAUCAUUAUGAAGUGGUUAGAAUAUGUAGUGUAGCGGUGAAAUGCAUAGAUAUUACAUAGAAUACCAAUUGCGAAGGCAGAUCACUAAUAAUGUAUUGACACUGAUGGACGAAAGCGUAGGUAGCGAACGG